rnacentral:rRNA from 1 species
AUGGGAGAUGCUUGCAUUUCCUGAUGGCGACCGGCGCACGGGUGAGUAACGCGUAUCCAACCUGCCCCUUACUCCGGCACAGCCCGUCGAAAGGCGGAUUAAUGCGGGAUGCAGUCAGAGAGAUGCAUAUAUGUCUGACGAAAGGAUUCGUCCGGUAAGGGAUGGGGAUGCGUCCGAUUAGCUUGACGGCGGGGUAACGGCCCACCGUGGCUACGAUCGGUAGGGGUUCUGAGAGGAAGGUCCCCACAUUGGAACUGAGACACGGUCCAAACUCC